rnacentral:rRNA from 1 species
UACAGAGGGUGCUAGCGUUGUUCGGAAUCAUUGGGCGUAAAGGGCGUGUAGGCGGUUUGUUAAGUCAUGUGUGAAAUCCCUCGGCUCAACCGGGGAACGACGCAUGAAACUGGCAAGCUAGAGUACCAAAGAGGGGGGUGGAAUUCCCGGUGUAGCGGUGAAAUGCGUAGAGAUCGGGAGGAACACCCGUAGCGAAGGCGGCACUCUGGGCCGGUACUGACGCUGAGGAGCGAAAGCGUGGGGAGCAAACAGG